rnacentral:rRNA from 1 species
UACAGAGGGUGCUAGCGUUGUUCGGAAUUAUUGGGCGUAAAGGGCGCGUAGGCGGCCCUGUGUGUCGGGUGUGAAAGCCCACCUCUUAAAGGUGGAAUUGCAUUCGAAACUACAGGGCUGGAGUGUCGGAGAGGAUGGCGGAAUUCCUGGUGUAGAGGUGAAAUUCGUAGAUAUCAGGAGGAACACCGGUGGCGAAGGCGGCCAUCUGGACGACGAACGUGACAG